rnacentral:lncRNA from 1 species
CGCUGCUACAAAGUACAAACGAAUGCUGAAACCUGAUAAUAAUAGUGUACGAGUAUGGCAUCCAACUUUGCACAAUGAACAAAUAGGCCACCCACAAACGGCAUCCAGUACGAGUAUGGCUUCUGCGUUGCAAAAUACAAAAACAUGUCUUGUCUAAGGCACGGUGACAGUCGCGAUGCGACAGAGAAACAAAACCACGGUAAUCUGACUCCACAGAUCAGGUACUCAACAAAGCCAUGAUAUCACUGAUCAUUGGCAGAUCUGCUCGACGGCGGCCACGAUCUGCGCGGGCUGCACCACGGUGGCGUCCUCCAGCGUCGCGGCGUACGGGGUCGGCACGUCCUGCGACGACAGGCACAUGAUGGGGGCGUCCAGGUAGUCCCAGAAGUUGUCGAUGAUGGCCGACCGCAGGCUGGCGCCGAUGCCGCCCGUCCGCAUGCACUCCUCCACGAUCAGCACGCGGUGGGUCUUCUUGAUCGAGUUCCCGAUCGUGUGCAGGUCGAACGGCUUCAGCGACCUGAUGUCGAUGACCUCGGGGUCGUACCCCUUGUUCACCAGCGUCUUGGC